rnacentral:rRNA from 1 species
UUGUCGAAUCCUGCCCGACGAACGACCGCGAACCCGUUGAACAAACCGCCGGGCGCCGGCGGGCGCGGGAAACCCUGCCCGUCGGCUCCCCGAGCCCAACUUAACUCCCGGCGCGGAAUGCGCCAAGGAAUACUCAAACGGAUGGCCGGCCGCCCUGCGGUUUCCGCGGGGUGAGCCGAGCGUCUGAUCGUUUAACCAAAACGACUCUCGGCAACGGAUAUCUAGGCUCUCGCAUCGAUGAAGAACGUAGCGAAAUGCGAUACUUGGUGUGAAUUGCAGAAUCCCGUGAACCAUCGAGUUUUUGAACGCAAGUUGCGCCCGAAGCCAUUAGGCUGAGGGCACGUCUGCCUGGGCGUCACGCAUCGCGUCGCCACCCCCUCCUCGCCCUAGAAAUUCGGACGGACGGGGGUGACGGAUGUUGGCCUCCCGUGCCCUCGCGGCGCGGCCGGCCUAAAUGCGAGUCCUCGGCCCGGGACGUCACGACGAGUGGUGGUUGAACCCUUCAACUCGAGAGCCGUCGAGACGACGCCCGACGGGGAACUCUGACGACCCUAGGGCUAUCGGCCCCGAGAGGAGCCGCGAGCCUUCGACCGCGACCCCA